rnacentral:rRNA from 1 species
ACGGGUGAGUAACGCGUAGGAAUAUACCCUGAAGAGUGGGAUAACUUGGGGAAACUCAAGCUAAUACCGCAUAAUGUCUGAAGACGAAAGCUGGGGACCGCAAGGCCUGGCGCUUUAGGAUUAGCCUGCGUCCGAUUAGCUAGUUGGUGGGGUAAAGGCCUACCAAGGCGACGAUCGGUAGCUGGUCUGAGAGGAUGAUCAGCCACACUGGGACUGAGACACGGCCCAGACUCC